rnacentral:rRNA from 1 species
GGGUUGUGAGGUUAAGCGACUAAGCGUACACGGUGGAUGCCCUGGCAGUCAGAGGCGAUGAAGGACGUGCUAAUCUGCGAUAAGCGUCGGUAAGGUGAUAUGAACCGUUAUAACCGGCGAUUUCCGAAUGGGGAAACCCAGUGUGUUUCGACACACUAUCAUUAACUGAAUCCAUAGGUUAAUGAGGCGAACCGGGGGAACUGAAACAUCUAAGUACCCCGAGGAAAAGAAAUCAACCGAGAUUCCCCCAGUAGCGGCGAGCGAACGGGGAGCAGCCCAGAGCCUGAAUCAGUGUGUGUGUUAGUGGAAGCGUCUGGAAAGGCGCGCGAUACAGGGUGACAGCCCCGUACACAAAAAUGCACAUACUGUGAGCUCGAUGAGUAGGGCGGGACACGUGGUAUCCUGUCUGAAUAUGGGGGGACCAUCCUCCAAGGCUAAAUACUCCUGACUGACCGAUAGUGAACCAGUACCGUGAGGGAAAGGCGAAAAGAACCCCGGCGAGGGGAGUGAAAAAGAACCUGAAACCGUGUACGUACAAGCAGUGGGAGCCUCUUUAUGGGGUGACUGCGUACCUUUUGUAUAAUGGGUCAGCGACUUAUAUUCUGUAGCAAGGUUAACCGAAUAGGGGAGCCGAAGGGAAACCGAGUCUUAACUGGGCGUUAAGUUGCAGGGUAUAGACCCGAAACCCGGUGAUCUAGCCAUGGGCAGGUUGAAGGUUGGGUAACACUAACUGGAGGACCGAACCGACUAAUGUUGAAAAAUUAGCGGAUGACUUGUGGCUGGGGGUGAAAGGCCAAUCAAACCGGGAGAUAGCUGGUUCUCCCCGAAAGCUAUUUAGGUAGCGCCUCGUGAAUUCAUCUCCGGGGGUAGAGCACUGUUUCGGCAAGGGGGUCAUCCCGACUUACCAACCCGAUGCAAACUGCGAAUACCGGAGAAUGUUAUCACGGGAGACACACGGCGGGUGCUAACGUCCGUCGUGAAGAGGGAAACAACCCAGACCGCCAGCUAAGGUCCCAAAGUCAUGGUUAAGUGGGAAACGAUGUGGGAAGGCCCAGACAGCCAGGAUGUUGGCUUAGAAGCAGCCAUCAUUUAAAGAAAGCGUAAUAGCUCACUGGUCGAGUCGGCCUGCGCGGAAGAUGUAACGGGGCUAAACCAUG